GUGGGGAAUUUUGGACAAUGGGCGCAAGCCUGAUCCAGCAAUGCCGCGUGUAGGAAGAAGGCCUUCGGGUUGUAAACUGCUUUUGUACGGAACGAAACGGUCCUGGUUAAUACCUGGGGCUAAUGACGGUACCGUAAGAAUAAGCACCGGCUAACUACGUGCCAGCAGCCGCGGUAAUACGUAGGGUGCAAGCGUUAAUCGGAAUUACUGGGCGUAAAGCGUGCGCAGGCGGUUUUGUAAGACAGGCGUGAAAUCCCCGGGCUCAACCUGGGAAUUGCGCUUGUGACUGCAAGGCUGGAGUGCGGCAGAGGGGGAUGGAAUUCCGCGUGUAGCAGUGAAAUGCGUAGAUAUGCGGAGGAACACCGAUGGCGAAGGCAAUCCCCUGGGCCUGCACUGACGCUCAUGCACGAAAGCGUGGGGAGCAAACAGGAUUAGAUACCCUGGUAGUCC
rnacentral:rRNA from 1 species